GACAGAGGGUGCAAACGUUGUUCGGAAUUACUGGGCGUAAAGCGAGUGUAGGCGGUCCGAUAAAUCGGGUGUGAAAGCCCUGGGCUCAACCCAGGAAGUGCACUCGAAACUGCCGGGCUAGAGUAUCGGAGAGGUUGGUGGAAUUCUCGGUGUAGAGGUGAAAUUCGUAGAUAUCGAGAGGAACACCGGUGGCGAAGGCGGCCAACUGGACGAAUACUGACGCUGAGACUCGAAAGCGUGGGGAGCAAACAGG
rnacentral:rRNA from 1 species